GGAGGGGAUCAUUACCGAGUUUACAACUCCCAAACCCAAUGUGAACCAUACCAAACUGUUGCCUCGGCGGGGUCACGCCCCGGGUGCGUCGCAGCCCCGGAACCAGGCGCCCGCCGGAGGGACCAACCAAACUCUUUUCUGUAGUCCCCUCGCGGACGUUAUUUCUUACAGCUCUGAGCAAAAAUUCAAAAUGAAUCAAAACUUUCAACAACGGAUCUCUUGGUUCUGGCAUCGAUGAAGAACGCAGCGAAAUGCGAUAAGUAAUGUGAAUUGCAGAAUUCAGUGAAUCAUCGAAUCUUUGAACGCACAUUGCGCCCGCCAGUAUUCUGGCGGGCAUGCCUGUCCGAGCGUCAUUUCAACCCUCGAACCCCUCCGGGGGGUCGGCGUUGGGGACCUCGGGAGCCCCUAAGACGGGAUCCCGGCCCCGAAAUACAGUGGCGGUCUCGCCGCAGCCUCUCCUGCGCAGUAGUUUGCACAACUCGCACCGGGAGCGCGGCGCGUCCACGUCCGUAAAACACCCAACUUCUGAAAUGUUGACCUCGGAUCAGGUAGGAAUACCCGCUGAACUUAAGCAUAUCAAAAACCCGGAGGAA
rnacentral:rRNA from 1 species